AUUGAACGAUGGCGGCAAGCCUAACACAUGAAAGUCGAACGAGUGGCGGACGGGUGAGUAAUGUCUGGGAAACUGCCUGAUGGAGGGGGAUAACUACUGGCAACGGUAGAUAAUAAAGCAUACAAUCGGAUGUGCCCAGAUGGGAUUAGCUAGUAGGUGGGGUAAAGGCUCACCUAGGCGAAGAUCCCUAGCUGGUCUGAGAGGAUGACCGGCCACACUGGAACUGAGACACGGUCCAUACUCCUACGUGAGGCAGCAGUGGGGAAUAUUGCACAAUGGUCGCAAGCCUGAUGCAGCCAUGCCGCGUGUAUGAAGAAGGCUUUCGGGUUGUAAAGUACUUUCAGCGGGUAGGCGUUACUCGCAGAAGAAGCACCGGCUAACUCCGUGCCAGCAGCCGCGGUAAUAC
rnacentral:rRNA from 1 species